AUCAUGCCAGCUCUUGGGAAAGAAAUUCCUGAUCUCUCUGAGGGCCAUAGGAGCAUUUCUUAAUCUGUUGGUUAUAACAAGAAGUUAUGCCAUUUCUAAUAAUUUUACUUGGAUUUAUUAGAAAAGAGGAAAGAAUACAAGAGCCCCUGAUGCAGAUUCAUCACCAAAUUAAGCUUUUUUGCCUAGUAAUAAAUCUAGGAAUGGGUUGUAUACUGUUGGGCCUUUGGUUCAUGGGGUUUCAAUGUAAUAUGCCACUUUUAUGGGCCUAAAGUAUGGGUAAUAAAGUUGCAUCCGAGAUUAGCUAGUUUGUUUUCUAUAAGUUUUUAUUUCAUGUCUUUGUUAUGUUUUAAUUUCAAAUUGAACCAUGAUCCAUAUUGGUCCAAUGUCUAUUCAAUUUAAUUGAAUCUUUCUUU